rfam:Dipodomys ordii contig_42494, whole genome shotgun sequence.
GGGAAUGUAGCUUAGUGGUAGAGUGUUUGCCUAGCAUGCAUGAAGCCCUGGGUUUGAUUCCUCAGUACCA